rnacentral:rRNA from 1 species
AAAUUGAAGAGUUUGAUCAUGGCUCAGAUUGAACGCUGGCGGCAGGCCUAACACAUGCAAGUCGAACGGUAACGGGAAGAAGCUUGCUUCUUUGCUGACGAGUGGCGGACGGGUGAGUAAUGUCUGGGAAACUGCCUGAUGGAGGGGGAUAACUACUGGAAACGGUAGCUAAUACCGCAUAACGUCGCAAGACCAAAGAGGGGGACCUUCGGGCCUCUUGCCAUCGGAUGUGCCCAGAUGGGAUUAGCUAGUAGGUGGGGUAACGGCUCACCUAGGCGACGAU